ensembl:snoRNA LOC120102017 small nucleolar RNA SNORA43
GCUGUCCUAGAACAGCACCACAGGCCUGGCUCGGCUUUGCCUGUGACAUUGGGGCAAAGAGCAAGUGGCUAUUUCUACGCUCAGUGUUCAGAAGCCAGUGAGCACUAAGAAUGGUUUGUAGCCUGACAUUU